GAGGAAAUCAGGCCGUGCAAUUGGACCAAAACCUUCACAUACUUACCAAGAGUGUGUAGCAGGGGAACUUUGCUUAGAGGGAGUGUAUGGGAACUGUUGAAUCACGGCCUGAACCUCUGAUUGACCACCUGAGGCGAGUGCUGAGUCAGCCACAGGGGCACAGGUGAAGGCAAUUUCACCUGAGUGACCGGAAGGGGUGGAUCCUGGCUGCACCCCUCCUAGGCCCCAUUAAGGGCUGACUCCCAAGGAGGAAGGAUCUCUAUCUGGAGAUCACUCCUCUUGGAGCCCUUCUGUGAGCCCAGGACACAGGUUCUAGAAGGAUGUGCACAAGCUCUCAGGGGGCUGUGUGAAGAAUCCUAGAGCCAUGCAGAUCAAACUGGCAGAAGAGUAACUGGACCCUGAGUCUUAAGCACAUGCUGUGGCUGGAGAAGGGGAUGGCAGCCAGGGACUGUCCAAUUAUCUUUUCUUCAGCCUUUUCAUCUUGUGAGAGUCUUCCUGAUGCUUGCAGUGGAGUCUGAAGAGAAAUAAGCUUUGAUCUCUGUCUCCUGAAGUGCUUUCUCACCAUCAGUACAGUUCCAGGAUUCAGAAAUACUGGUUGCAACUGACAUGCCGUGAGUCCAUCUGGGACUGCAGACCCUGUUGUUACGGUGGCCUCCAGUGGGAGCUGUGGUGCAGACUGUGAUCCAUGAUGGGGUGAUCAGCGGUGCAGGCAAUUUGGAAAAAAGGAGACACAACCACAAAAAGGAAUUUUCCAUGUUCUGAUCCUCAUCUGGCCCUCCAAAGCAGGUGCUCCUACUGCCCAACACCCAGCACUGAUCUGAAAGGAAGCAGUGAUAUGUAAUCACCAUAUAUAUGGUGGUUAUUCUGCUUUGUGUCCCAACCAAACCACUCUGUGCAUGUGCUAAAACAAACAGCAGAGAUCAGCAAUAGAAGCAUCCUCUCAUGUCAGCUGCCUUUUCCAGCACAGGGCCUGACAGCAGGAGAAUAAGCACAGUGUUUGCUGACAAAGCUGGGCCUGGUGAUGCUCAGUGUCAUUUAUUUGGCAUCCUUGGGAAAGACUUGAAGCAGCACCUACCUGCUGGGCUCUGAGCUGCUAAAGGCAAUUUACACUGCAGAAGCAAGCCAGAAACAAUCCUGAAAGUUACUCAGAUAUGGAGACAUGCAUUAGCACUGACAAAAGUUCUCAAUCAGAAUCAACAUGGAGUUAUGUUUUCUAGGAAGCAGGAUGCAAAGUGGCCGUAUGAUCACUUAAAUAAGCAGAGAAUCCUAUUCUGGCAAGUACUGUAGAGCUAUUUGCUGGCAGUGCACUAUGCAGGCCAAGAAAUUGGAGCAUAGAAGUUUUACAGGUCACACAUUCUGAGCAUUCUGCAAUAACUGUGUCUGGGGAGAGAACACUUCUUCCUGUCCAUUUAGCUUAAUAAAUCAAAAUCAGACACCAGUAUCGUGGGAGGGCUGUCUGAGUAAGGAGUUCUUAUUUGCAUUUUGAAAUAGAACAAUAUAGAAAUGUUGGAUCCCAGUAACUCUAAAUUUGAAGCAUGCAGCAUUCAUCUCUGCCCUUUUUAUGGCUGAAGGCCUCUGUAUCUCUUGCUAGCUUUUGUGGGGAAAAUUUCUUCUAAAAAACGUCACUGCAACUAUUUAUGUCUGUUUGGUAUGGGGUUGAACAGCACCGAGCAGAAAGCCAGGGAUGUAUUUAGAUUCCUUCCCCUGGCAGACGGGUGGGGAUGGACAUGUUCUUGAUUAAAACUGGGAGUUGGGAAGAUUGUUUCCCAAGGUUAUUUUUGGUUGCUGGAGCCUGGAUCUAAAGCCUGUCGCCUGGCUCCAACCCCUACCCGUUCGUAUCUGAUUUGGCCAAUUUGGAAUUGAAUCUGUUUUUAGAAGUAAAGGAGAGCAACUGUUUGCAGGUUUUAAGGGAUGCCCCCAGAUUUCUUCAGUACAAGGCAAAGUGGUUUGAAGCCAUCUGGAUCUCACAAAUGUAUUUGUCCUGCAGCUGUUGCCAGAUAAGGGGUAGACUGGGAAACCUCCAAACUUCCAUGAGGUGUCUAGGGAUGGAGGCUUUGGUGUAAGAACACCCAUCUGAAAUGAUUUGCAUCACAUUGCUGUGCUGUGGCAUCAGCUUCCCUGCGUGACUGAGCUCAAUGGGAUGAGCUGUGCUGUGAUGGGAGGUGAGAUGAUGACAUGCUAGAACAGGACUGAGGGGUUGCUGGAAUGGACCUUGGAGCUUCACAUCUGCUCCUAUCUAUCUGUGGUGGGGAAGGUGAUCCACAGGUCCUGUGGGAGAGAGAACAUGGCAUUUAUGAGUGAUUUUCCAUUCAGGGGUUAUUUAACGUGAUACAAAGGGGCAGAACCAAUGAUAUUGUUCAAUACUCAGAAGGAAGAAAUGACUUGUUAAUCCUGGAGACACUAACCCUGAGCAGAUAAUAAGCAUACCUGCCUUACAUGAGACCAUCCACAGCAAUUUGACUUGGAAUUGCAAUGACAAAGUGCAUUUUCACAAUGAAAUGCCCCAGCUGGGGCUCAGCUGCAUCCUGGAGCAUGGCACAAGGGUGAUCCCAGUGGAGAACCAGGACCUCAUGAGACAGUGAGACCAGGCAAAGGGAAGGACUGCAAACCCUGCUGCCCUCUGGUCCUCUAUGCCCUGGGCAGCAGAGGGCCUCCUAUUGGUUUGGAACUGCUUAUCUGAGUGACCAGACUUAUGCUGGUUUGACUAAGAGGAGAACCCAGGAUGUGGCUGACUGGGAGGAGGAGUGGUUCCCUCUGCAGCCAUGCCUUGCUAUGUAUUCCUUCAGGGUCAGCUGCUGCUCCUUGCCAGGGAUGACACCUCCCUUUGACCCCCUGAAGGCAGGACCCGAGAUGCUGCCUGCAUGGUUUCAUUAGCAGCAGCUCCUCCCACAGCUGUGCAGCACCUCACAAGCCAGCAAUGGUCAGUCAUUUUAGACAACAAAUGGUCAGUCGUUUUAAAAAAAGGAAGCAAAGAGAAGACAAGAGAGAGGGCUGCAUAUGGCAAAUAGUAUAAAUGCUUACCAGUUAAUGGUUGAGCAUGCUAACAAAGGUCCAUAAGGGUAGCCUAAUGCUAAUGAGAGCAGGGAAUGUUUCCUCCUGCAAUGAUGAGCACAGCUCCUUGCUUUGGUGCACCUCCACAGCAUUUGCACCGCGCCAGGAAAAUAUUUGCAGCAGCAUAUGUUUCUGCAGAGCUGCUCCAGCUGCAGUGAGGAGGCAGUCGGGAUAUAGAAAUGUUUCCUAUACAGUGGGAUGCGGAGACAUCGGUGCAGCAGGGCUGGGUGAUGCAGCUGCUGCCCUCUAGAUGGUGCAGUCUGAUAAAAAAUUUGAUGAGAAAGCCGCUUGCCGCGGCCGGGGGCUCUCCGACUUUCUCUGGGCAGAGGUUUUUAAUUGCAUUUGCAGGAGGGCGUAUUGCCAAUGACAGAGAACUGGAACGCUGCGGUGCUGGUAAUUCCCUUAACUGUUGGGACGAGGGCCAGAUCCACGGUGGUGUAUGCGUAUUCUCUGUAACCUGGUGCACUGCACUGUGCUGUGCCUUGAACUAUUCUGCACGCUGAGUUUAUUCCUAGGCCAUUUUAUUUUUUAACCCAGGAGUCCGUGCCAGGAAAUGCACUGCAUUUCAGAGGUCAGGCAGGGAAAUAUCACAGAGCUGAGUAAGAAAGCUGGUUUAAUGGUUUUCGGUGUUUACAGUUCAGAACCACAAAUUCCUGACUGCAAAUUUGUACUGAACAAUGCCAGCAGUGUCUGUGCUGUGCUGCAAAGGAGAUAUCAGGCAGACCUGACCACUGUCAAGUGAAACUGAUUGAAAAGAAAUAUGAAGAAAAGAAAACGUGGAAAAAACUCCUCUUGGCAAUCCUUAAUAAGUGAAAACUCACGCAGAGAAAUCUAUUGAAGGGAGAGCAGAGCAAUUUGAAGUGAGCCACCUUUUGAUUCACCGAUGGAACAAAGGCACCGGGAGAGUGAAAGAAGAAACAUAGACCACAUGAGAAAGAGAGUGUGUACGAUGGGCAGCAGCCAACACAAACUGGAAAUCAUUUGGUUCUCAAAAUGAAUGUGAGGGGAAGAUAUAUAACUGCAAAGCCAGAGUGGGAAAGGUUAUGGAAAAUAAAAGGGAGAUUUGUUUUUAAGCAGAACAUAUCCUAGCAACGUCACAGUCCUAAUAUUAGGUGGAUACUGUAGCUGACAGAGCCAUGGGAAAGGGAGAGGUAUCCAGUGUCUAUGUGGAAAGCAGCUCUCUUCUCACAUGAGUUUGGCUGGUAUCUCCUCAUCUGUAUAGCCAGGAAAAUGUGUGACACCUUCUGCUACUGCAAAAAUCAGCCUGGACUCUGUCCCUGUGUGUCCCAGGAGAAUGGGCCAAAGAUGUCUCUGGUUCAUGAAAACUCAUUUUGGGCAGUUUGAAUGGGGCAAAGCCUGGGACUAGGAGGAUGGUACAGCCGUGCGAGUACUUGAAUGGGCACAGCUGGUCCUGCAGGUAGGACAUCUUGUCAUCCAACAGGAUGGUUAUGAGUCCUAUGAAAUAGAAUGCACAGGCAAGGCACAGCUGUGCCAUGUCAGGGUCUGUGCCCAGGUCUGUGUGCUGGACACAUCCCUUGCUCACAGAGGUCCCUUAGUGGGGCCGGGCGCCUCCACACCAACAACCAUCCCGCCAAGCAAAGAGCCAAAAAUAAGAGCUCCAGAGCUGGAAAUUUGGUUUAUUACUAAUAUCAUCAUCAUCAUUACCAUUAUCAUUGUUAUUGCUAUUAUUAUUUUGAGCUGCUGCCCUCUCCUCCAGGCUACAAGGGAGACAGCACCAGGUGUAACCUCUCUGAGGCAGCCAGGACUCUUCAGAUCAGGGAAAGUGGUAGUUUUUGCCAUGGACUGUAAGCUCCAGUCCGGUUGGUUUUUCAAAGCAUUAUCAGAAGCGAAAGGCUACAUUUAAAAAUGUAUAAGCAGGAGCUUUCAGCUCUGUGUGCCUUCAUUCAUAAUUCACCAGUGCUCAUUUCUAAAGAAGAGUUGGUAUUUUCAAAAGGUAAGUGUACUUUUAAACCUUUCUUUACUUUGCAGUGAGUGUGAAAUUACGUGAACUUCUUGAAAAGAAAGAGAGGGAAGCAGGAGUCCCUCAGAUAGCCAC
ensembl:lncRNA